ACAGGGUUAUUUCAGACUUUUAACCGCAACUUCGGAUGAUCCAUUUUCUGCUGGGUCGUGCCCGACUUGAAUACAGAUGUUUUCAACACGAACCGGGUCGCUCCAUCACAUCUGGGUCGAACACACUGCAAAACUCUCACACAAUCAGUUUCCAAUCAGUUCCGCGAAAUAAGGCGUGUGAUUAGGUUAUCUUCAAAUUUCAAAUUUGGAAGUUAAUGGCCUCCUACUAUUGCUAUUACCGUGGACAAGGUGAAAUCAAACCUGCAUCAGUUUGUGAUGGAUCCGUUAGGUUUGAAGCGGCCUCCUCUUUCUCCGCUGUCACCGUCGUCUCUACGAGAGAGGCAGAGGAGACGUGGUGGUGCUCACGACUCCACCGAUGGGAACGGAAGCCUGCUUUGCAAAGAGAACCAGAACCCACUUCGGAAAGCACAAACCUUUGGUUCUGGAGGUAAUACCAUACCGGGUAUUUUGCACAAGGGCAGCCUAAAGACUUCCCAAUGUUCUGCUCCAAGCACGGCGGAAAGCGUAGUCAAUUCAGAAAACCAACACAAGUAUUUGAAGGAAACUUGCCCUGCUGAAAGGAAAUCUUUUCUUGGGAAUAGACGAGAAAACAACCCAACCAGAAUACCUAUUUCAAGAGGUAAUGAUGAUGUGAACCCUGGUAGUGGAACCUCUUUCGGUACUACUGAUGACUUUUCCUCUCCUUCGCAGAGGAGGUUGCGUGACGUUGAUUUGUUUGCUGUUACUCAACGAACACCCCUGGCCCGACUUAUAGCGAUACAGUCAAAUAAGCAGAGCGUGAGUAACCGUUUUCAACCUACCGUUUUCAACUGUUUUCAAAUAAGCAGUCUCAAGGCUUCCCAGUGUUCUGUUGCAAGCACAGCGGAAAGUUUUCUCCCGGCAGAAAUCGACAAAACUAUGUCAGAGAAUCGCGCCCUUCUCAUGGGAAAACAUGUGGUCAAAAUACUAAUUACUCAGGAGAAGCAUAUUAACUAUGUUAGCUGUGGUCUGCUAUUUUCGUGUGCUGACUUGAAGAAUGGUUUAUGCCUUGGAACUCCAACUCUCGCCUACAAUUCAUGCCAAAUGCCAUUACAUUCUACCCAAGCAUCAGCUUGCGCUUAGUACACCAUCUGAUCUUCAGUACAAUAAGCUUGGAAGUGUUGGCCAUGCAUCAGGUUCCAGUUCGACUUUUCAGACACAAUGAAUACGAGAGAUUUUUAACAACACCUUUCCCUUAUUAUGGAGCUUCAUUCACUACGGUAACACUGUCCAAUUAGUACUCAUAUUUGUGAUGGUAGCAUGCACAUAAACUCCACCCUACUUUAAUGUUGUUUAAAAUGAAACUGAGACAAUUGUAUGUUGAUAAUUGCAGAUGGUGGCUUUCUUCUUAGCAUCACAUCCCUUUAUAACAAGUGAAAUAGUUCUAUGUUGGAGCAAACUUUUACAAUUCCUUUUUUGCUUUGUUUAAGGUGUGGCAUGUAGGGGAGAGCAUGGGCCGGUUCGGCUCGGUUUCCGGAUAAAACCGGAACCGCAACCAUAUAUCUUCGGUUUUUAAAAUCGAAAACCGCAACCGCCGGUUCGGAUUCGGAUUCGGUUUCGGUUUAAAAACCCCGGUUCGGUUUCGGUUACAAAACCAACAAAUAUAAGAAUGAAAAAUAAUAUAUGUAUGAGACAAAUUAAUGCGCGUAAUUUAGACAUAAUAAUUAAUAUAAAAUUAGAAUUUAAUAAAAUAAUAAUAUUUUAUAUAAUGUUCAAAAGAUUAUGGUAAGCAGUGAGCAUAGUCUGGUGUUAGAGUAUUUAUUUUCCGGUGACAAUUGCCUUAUUAACAUCUAAGAAACAGAGUCCUGGAUAGAGUGUUCCAGUAACUAAAACAAAGCAGCUGAAAAAUAAAAUAUAAGAGUAUAAAAGCUUGAGCUUGAUGAAGCUAAUUAAAAAGGUUUAGAGGCUACCUCUCUGCUUGAUAUAAUUAUGUCAAGAUAUGCAAGUAAUAACUCACAGAGUAUAUUAUUAUCUAUGUAAAAGACUUUGAGAAAGUUACGUGGAGAGUCUGGAGAUUAUAAUUUGUAGUUUUUGUAUAUUAUGUGAACUUAUAACUUGAAUAGCUUUUUUAAUUUUCAAAUUCGAAAUAAAUUAGAUAUUUAUUAUUAAUAAAUAUAUAUAAUAUUUAUUAUUUAAUUAUUAUUUUAAUAAUCGGUUCGGUUCGGUUUUUAUCGGUUCGGUUGGAAGGUAUAACCGGAACCGAACCAUUUAAAUCGGUUCGGUUUUUUAUUUUUCGGUUUCGGUUUCGGUUUCGGAUCGGUUAUAUUCGGAUCGGUUUUCUCUGGUUUUUUCCGGUUUCGGUUCGGUUUCGGUUUCAAAUCGGUUUUUUGCUCAGCCCUGGUGGCAUGUAUACUUAUGGUAUGUUUCUUCCCUGUCUGGGCUGUGAGAAUUUUGUUAUGCCUAUCUUUAAACCACCAGACAUCUCUGUUGCAGUAGAGUAUGGAAUUGUAGAGAUUAUGUUUCAUGCCUCUCUAUAUGAUUUCAGUGCUUUCGGCUGACUUUGAAAUUGACGAAGAAUUAAAUUGAGAUUUAUAUAAAAACAUCACUUAGAUUAGUCUUGAUUGGUUAGGAUUUUCAUAGAGACCUAUUAUUCAUCGCUAACUUGAUUAUAAUUUUAGUUACAGAGGGAAACAUGGUCUAACAUAUAAUCUUGAUAGAUUCUCUCUUUGGUGUCUUUUAUGAUAAUUAUUACGUGUCUACACAAGAUGACAUGAUUGAUAUCUUGACACGCUUAUUACUUGAAUUUUUUCCACAAGUAGUUAGUCUUUGCCAUGAGUUUGGUCACGUGGUAUGUUUAACCACUACGUGAAGCAUGUACGCUGAUAAUAGUUCUAUGUUUCUCCCCUGUCAGUGCUGUGAAAUUUCUGUUAUGACUAUCUGUGCUCAACUAACAGGUCCACCAUAGGCAUUGUUACUGGUUCAAACUGAGAUGUUCUUUUGCUAGGCUUAUCACUGAUAAAUUUAUAUUUCCAAAUUCAAGGUAGUUCUGUCAGGGCUGCUGAAAGUGGUGCAGUGUGUCCCUGAUCCAAGUUUGCUGAAAUGAACAAGCCGAAGUGACUUGCUCAGCCCCAGAAACCAAUGCCACUGGGAUGCUCUCUGAACUAAAAUUGGUAGCACACCACUGUAUAUUGCAACUGUCUUGGUCAUACGAAUGACCAGAUUCUGCAUAAAGAGGUUGUGGCUAUCUCUGAUAUGCAAUUUUCUAUUGUUAUGAAUUACGGAGUGUUUAUUUCUUCAGUUCAAAUGCAGGCUUCGGCUACAAUUAUAAGAAUUUUCAGUUGCUUGCAUUAUUCAUUUUAAAUUAAUCUGUUUUUAUUUUAAAGUGAUUUUAAAUUAA